rnacentral:rRNA from 1 species
UACGGGGGGAGCAAGCGUUGUUCGGAAUUACUGGGCGUAAAGCGCGCGCAGGCGGCUUCCUAAGUCCGUCGGUGAAAGACCGGGGCUCAACCCCGUGUCAGCCAUGGAUACUGGGAGGCUGGAGACAGGUAGAGGCAAGCGGAAUUCCGGGUGUAGCGGUGGAAUGCGUAGAUAUCCGGAAGAACACCGGAGGCGAAGGCGGCUUGCUGGACCUGGUCUGACGCUGAGGCGCGAAAGCGUGGGGAGCGAACAGG